rnacentral:lncRNA from 1 species
AGAAAAGAAAGAUUCCUUUCGCAAUGUGGUAAUAAUUCGAUUGAAUACUUUAUUCGGUUUAUUCUUGCCACAUGCAAUUUCGACUGCAGAUGAAUAUCGUUCGUUCAUUGCAAAUUUAGUUUCCAAUCGACAAUCGGCAGGGUGACAAAAUAAAAAUGUUGAAAUCUGCCUCGGCAUAGUUUUCUUCGUUGAAUCGAAAAGCAUUAUUCCAAUUCUGUGUAAAAUUAAUUAUCUUAUGAACUGACUGAACGAGUUUAAUAAAAAUUAUAGUGCAUUUAAAUUUGAUUCAGUGAUUAAUUUUGUGUGUUCAGUGAAAUCAGAGUGAAAUCAAUCAGCGAUGAGAGAUGCAGAAUGUCAGCUGAUGGCAGAGUGAUCUUCAAGAUUACUACGACGGUAAAAUAGUGAAAGAAGAUGCCGCCCGGGAUGAAGGGAGGCGGAUAAUCGUGGAGGAUUAGAGACGUAGCAGCAGGGUCCGAUAUUACGUUUAUAUUUUAUUGGGGUGUAAUUUUCGUCGGGCGGCAAACAAAGUGGCGAUUAUUACAACGAAAGACAGAAGCAAACAGUGGGGGAUAAAGCAAACGCAAUCAUUUGACACAUUACCUCGUUGGGGAUUCGGCUUCGUCGCAGCGUUAGACCGCAGCCAAAACGCGGUAGACGAAACUCAUCAGAUGCUGAACCAUGCUACAUAAGACGAUUGAACUCCAAUACCAAGAGAU